rnacentral:rRNA from 1 species
GAAAUUUAAUUUUAUUUUGAAUAAAUUAUAAUGUUAAUAUAAAAAGUUUGUUAUUAUUUAGUAUAUAGUUGGGAAAAUUUUAUUGUUUUGUACUGAAAAGGAUAUAAUAAGUUUGUUUUAUUAUAGUAAAAAUUAGAUUUUGUAUCUUUUGCAUAAUAGUUUAAUAAUAUAAUUAUUUGAUAAUUAUUUCUCGAAAUAGAAGGAUUUAUAUAUUAGAUUUUUAUUUUAAUUAUAUGAUAAUUAAAGUAAAAUUGUUUGUUAACGUGGUAUAGUUAUAUAAUUAAUAAUAUAUGGUAGUGAAACGCUAUUCGAUUUUUAAGAUAGCUAGUUUAUUAUUAUAUCAUUUUAGUGAAUGUUGGAAUAAAUUAUUUAGGUAAAUUAUUUUUAUAUAUAUAUUGGGGGAUAAGCUUCUUAUAAGUUAGUGAGAUUAAUUAUUAUUUUAUUUGAUAUUAAAGUUGAAUUAAUAGUUCUUUUUAUAUUUAUAAUAAUGUUAAAAUUAAAUAAAUUAUUUAAUCUUUAUUAUAUUAAGAUAGUAAAUUAUUUUUAAUUUUUUAAAAUUAAAUAUAAUGUUAAAAUGAGUAUUGUGUUAAUGUAUAUAUAUAAUAAUUAAUAUAUUUAAUUUAAUUAAAAAUUAUUAGUGAGGUAUAUAAUAAAAAUUAAUUAAAAUAAAGGAAUUCAGCAAAUAUUAAUUUCGCCUGUUUAUCAAAAACAUGUCUCUUUGAAAAUUUAAUAAUAAAGAGUUUGGCCUGCUCAGUGAGAUUUUUAACAGCUGCGGUAUUAUAACUGUACUAAGGUAGCAUAAUAAUUUGCCUUAUAAAUUAAGGCUAGAAUGAAUGGUUUGACGAAAAUUAUACUGUCUCUAUUUUAAUUAAUAGAAAUUAAUUUUUAUAGUGAAAAAGCUUAGAUAAUUUAAAGGGACGAGAAGACCCUAUUGAGCUUUAUAUUAGUUAUAAUAAAUAAUAAAAAUAUAAUUUAUUUGGUUAAAUUAGUAUUAUAUUAAUAAUAUUUAUUAUGUUUAAUUUUGAUUGGGGUGAUCAAGGAAUAAAGUGGAUAUUAUUUAACUUCCUUAAAAUUUAAUUUUUUUAGAAUAAUUAACCAAUGAUAUUGCUUAUAUGAUAAGUUACCAUAGGGAUAACAGCGUAAUUUUUUUGGAGAGUUCAUAUUAAAAAAAGAGAUUGCGACCUCGAUGUUGGAUUAAAAUAACCAUAAGGUGAAGAGGCUUUAUUUGGUGAAUCUGUUCGAUUUUUAAAAUUUUACAUGAUCUGAGUUCAAACCGGUGAAAGCCAGGUUGGUUUUUAUCUUUUAAAUUUAAUUUUUAUUUAAUUUAGUACGAAAGGAUUGAUUACAAUUAAUUUUAUUUUAAUUAAUUAGAAUAAAUAAAUAUAAAGUUGGCAGAAAUAUGUGAAUAAUUUAGAAUUAUUU